AGAAAAUAGAUACCCCGGUAGUCCACGCCCUAAACGAUGCAUAUUUGGUGUGGGUCAUUCAGUUGAUCCGUGCCGGAGCUAAACGCGUUAAAUAUGCCGCCUGGGGAGUACAGUCGCAAGGCUGAAACUCAAAGGAAUUGACGGGGGCCCGCACAAGCGGUGGAGCAUGUGGUUCAAUUCGACGCAACGCGAAGAACCUUACCUGGGCUCGAACGGCUGGUCAAUGGGGGUGGAAACACCCCUAUCCCGCAAGGGAGUCUAGUCGAGGUGCUGCAUGGCUGUCGUCAGCUCGUGUCGUGAGAUGUUGGGUUAAGUCCCGCAAACGAGCGCAACCCUCGUCCUGUGUUGCCAUGGGAGCAAUCCCGGAACUCGCAGGAGACCGCCAGCGAUAAGUUGGAGGAAGGUGGGGAUGACGUCAAGUCCUCAUGGCCUUUAUGUCCAGGGCUACACACGUGCUACAAUGGCCGGUACAAAGCGCCGCGAAACCCGCGAGGGGGAGCCAAUCGCAAAAAAACCGGUCUCAGUUCGGAUUGCAGGCUGC
rnacentral:rRNA from 1 species